UACAGCUGCUGAGGAUCUGGAUCCAGAAACGGAAGGGAAAAAGAAAUAGCUGAAGGAAAACAGUUUUCUUUUGAGAGCGUUCAGCAGAUUUUGCCACAAGUAAAACCAUCAGGAUGUGAGCUGAAACCUGUGUCAGUGUCCACAGUGUUUGAAUAGUCUGGUUUUAAUAGAAACAUGAAAACGCCAUAUGGAGCCAGACAACCAUUUCCUUCCUUCAGCGUGUUUGGAAGAAAAUCCUGAUUAUCUCCUGGGACAACCUGUGCCUUGCAGGGAGAGACAGUGCUUUCAUGUGUGACCCUCUUACCACCCAUGAAACCAUUUAGAUACAGAUCUCUCAACCUGCAUCUCAUCAAGCUGUGUGAUGUAAAGUGACAAGGCUUUUGCAACCUGUUGAGAUUGAUUGUACUGUGACACCAAUGUUUGAUUUCUUCAAACUGCUUUUAAAGAAAACAGGAUUCCCAAGCUCUUCUUAUAGGCAUGAAAGGAGAAACAAAAAAAUGCCAGCACAGAUAAAAGAAGGCAUUUCCUUUUGGUAUCACUUAACAGUGAUCUGGAAAAUAACAAUUCUAUGUGUAAGUAAUUCUUACAGUAGUAGUUCCCGAUGCUUGGGGGGUAAUAAAUAUAGUGUCUCUGCCCAAGUGGGGAACUGAAGGCUGGGAGGGCUCUCCACCACAUUAGAGCCACAUUGUCAGGCACAGAGCCCAGACUUGUUGAAGAGACUCAAAUACAGGACUUACAGCUUUGCAGAACUUGGCAGUUCUCAGUGGGAGCUGGCAGGGUUUGGGGCAGGUCUUCCCACGUUCCCCAUGCUGCUUGAUGGAAAACCUGAAUGAAGCAGGAUUUGAUGCUGGUGUAGUGGUUGGUAACUGGAGUUUGUUAUUGGCCAGCUUGUAGGAUUUGUGCUGGGCAUGGGUGUGCCUUCUGUGCACCGUACAGACAGAAUGUAUUUGCUUAUGAAUGGGUGUGCUCUUCGGGUGGUCCUUGUUUGGUUCUCCAUGCAUACAUGCCAUCACACUACAUCUGUAAACAGACUUGAUGGAGCAGAAGGGUAACCAGAGACAGAAGUGGCAGCAGAACAAAUAAAUCAUCUCCUACCACAGCAUCUCUGUAGGCAAAUCCUUAUGUUUACAGACUCUGAGACGAGUAAAUAAAGAACAUUCAGAAG
rnacentral:lncRNA from 7 species